rnacentral:rRNA from 1 species
AUUGAACGCUGGCGGCAGGCCUAACACAUGCAAGUCGAACGAGUGGCGGACGGGUGAGUAAUGUCUGGGAAACUGCCUGAUGGAGGGGGAUAACUACUGGAAACGGUAGCUAAUACCGCAUACCAUCGGAUGUGCCCAGUUGGGAUUAGCUAGUAGGUGGGGUAACGGCUCACCUAGGCGACGAUCCCUAGCUGGUCUGAGCGGAUGACCAGCCACAAUGGAACUGGUACACGGUCCAGACUCCUACGGGAGGAAGCAGUGGGGAAUAUUGAACAAUGGGCGCAAGCCUGAUGCAGCCAUGCCGCGUGUAUGAAGAAGGCCUUCGGGUUGUAAAGUACUUUCAGCGGGGAGGCGUUACCCGCAGAAGAAGCGCCGGCUAACUCCGUGCCAGCAGCCGCGGUAAUUC